rnacentral:rRNA from 1 species
UACGAGAUGUGCGAGCGUUGUUCGGAAUUACUGGGCAUAAAGGGUGCGUAGGCGGCCGAAUAAGUCAGGCGUGAAAUCCCGCGGCUCAACCGUGGAAUUGCGCUUGAUACUGUUUGGCUUGAGGACGGGAGGGGCAAGCGGAAUUCCAGGUGUAGCGGUGGAAUGCGUAGAGAUCUGGGAGAACGCCGACGGCGAAGGCAGCUUGCUGGAACGUUUCUGACGCUGAGGCACGAAAGCUAGGGGAG